rnacentral:rRNA from 1 species
UCGAGAAUCUUUCGCAAUGGGGGAAACCCUGACGACGCGACGCCGCGUGGAGGAUGAAGGUCUUCGGAUUGUAAACUCCUGUCAGCUGGGAGGAAUAAGCGGUCAGUUAAUAGCUAAUCGCCUUGACAGUACCAGCAAAGGAAGCCACGGCUAACUCUGUGCCAGCAGCCGCGGUAAUACAGAGGUGGCAAGAGUUGUUCGGAUUUAUUGGGCGUAAAGGGUCCGUAGGCGGAUUAGAAAGUCGGAUGUGAAAGCCCACAGCUUAACUGGGGAACUGCAUUCGAAACUUCUAAGCUCGAGUGUGAGAGGGGUAAGGGGAAUUCCCGGUGUAAGAGUGAAAUCUGUAGAGAUCGGGAGGAACACCAGUCGCGAAGGCGCCUUACUGGCUCACCACUGACGCUGAGGGACGAAAGCCAGGGGAGCAAACG